CAGAGUUCUGCUAUACACAAAUACGCAUGUUUCAAUGGGUACUUCCAGGGACCGCAUGGAGAUCCCUUAAGUUGAAACUGGACAAACAGAACAGUGGAUGGUUCUAGCUGAGAUCUGGGAUAGUUUCUGAAUUCAGAAGUGUUCACCAGCCACAUUGCAUGUAUUAGCUGGAACCAUAUAUGAAACUACGAUACUCAGCUGUUUCUAACCUACAAACACAGUGAUUACAUAUGGCUCAACUUAAUGUAUAUGAAGCCUAGAAUGUCAGAACUGAUAGAGCCUUAGAGACUUUCAAGUCUAUUUCAUUAUGUUGAAGAGGAAAACGGAUGAGGGAGAGAAGUGUCCAGCCUAAGAUCAUACAUCACCUUAAGUGGUAGAAUCAGGGCUGCUUCUCUUCCUACUGGACCAUGUACCUGUCUCUCAUACUCUGCUUCUUUUAAUAUAAUAAUAAUUUAGGUGCGAUAUCAGUCUUUUUUGUUUUUGUUUUUGUUUUUUUUUGAGACAGAGCCUUGCUCUGUCACCCAGAAUUGUAUGACCUUCAGGCCUGGAUCCACUCCUGUGUAGCACAGAGUUUUGAAAAGCACUAGGCAAGGAGACCAGAGUUCCUGGGUUCCAAUCAUGGCACUAUGCAGGCCCAAAUGGGCAGCACAGCACUUGCCCUGCUUUCUUCACGGGAGCGGGGGCAGGGUGGUGGUGGUAAAUCAUAUCUGUGAUAUGGGAUAGUCAUCACUGCUUCUCAUGGCUGAAGAUAACACAUAAAAAAUGUGUCCCCAGAGCAUCUUCCUGUCUCAUUUCCCUCUGCUACAACUUCUUCUC
rnacentral:lncRNA from 1 species